UACGUAGGGUGCAAGCGUUUGUCCGGAAUUAUUGGGCGUAAAGAGCUCGUAGGCGGUUUGUCGCGUCUGCUGUGAAAACUCGGGGCUUAACCCCGGGCCUGCAGUGGGUACGGGCAGACUAGAGUGCGAUAGGGGAGACUGGAAUUCCUGGUGUAGCGGUGAAAUGCGCAGAUAUCAGGAGGAACACCGGUGGCGAAGGCGGGUCUCUGGGCCGUAACUGACGCUGAGGAGCGAAAGCGUGGGGAGCGAACAGG
rnacentral:rRNA from 1 species